CCCCCCAGGGGAUGCCCUCAGUAGCGGCGAGUGAAGCGGCAAGAGCUCAGAUUUGAAAUCUCACCUAGUGUGCGAGUUGUAAAUUGCAGGUUGGAGUCUCGGGUUAGACGUGUGUGCAAGUCCCUUGGAACAGGGUGCCACUGAGGGUGAGAGCCCCGUAUCGUGCAUGUCGACACCUGUGAGGCCCUUCUGACGAGUCGAGUUGUUUGGGAAUGCAGCUCUAAGUGGGUGGUAAAUUCCAUCUAAGGCUAAAUAUUGGCGAGAGACCGAUAGCGAACAAGUACUGUGAAGGAAAGAUGAAAAGCACUUUGAAAAGAGAGUGAAACAGCACGUGAAAUUGUUGAAAGGGAAGGGUAUUGGGCUCGACAUGGGAUUUACGCAUCGUUGCCUCUCGUGGGCGGCGCUCUGGGUUUUUCCUGGGCCAGCAUCGGUUUUCGUUGCAGGAUAAGGACAAUUGGAAUGUGGCUCCUCGGAGUGUUAUAGCCUUUUGUAGAUGCUGCGUAUGGGGACCGAGGGCUGCGGCGGACUCGUUUCGUCUCGGAUGCUGGCACAACGGCGCAAUACCGCCCGUCUUGAACAACGGGACCCA
rnacentral:rRNA from 1 species